rnacentral:lncRNA from 1 species
AUGGAGUUGUUCUUCUCUCACUUUCUCUAUUUCACUUCAUCAUUAGCUUCCCUCCCUCUGUCUCCCUCUCUCUGUCUCCCUCUCUCUGUCUCCCUCUCUCUGUCUCCCUCCCUCCAUCUCCCUCCCUCUGUCUCCCUCCCUCUGUCUCCCUCCCUCUGUCUCUCACCCUCCUCUGUCUCCCUCUCUCUGUCUCUCACCCUCCCUCUGUCUCCCUCUCUCUGUCUCUCACCCUCCCUCUGUCUCCCUCUCUCUGUCUCUCACCCUCCCUCUGUCUCCCUCUCUCUGUCUCUCACCCCUCCCUCUGUCUCCCUCUCUCUGUCUCUCACCCUCCCUCUGUCUCCCUCUCUCUGUCUCUCACCCUCCCUCUGUCUCCCUCUCUCUGUCUCCCUCUCUCUGUCUCUCACCCUCCCUCUGUCUCCCUCUCUCUGUCUCACCCUCCCUCUGUCUCCCUCUCUCUGUCUCCCUCUCUCUGUCUCUCACCCUCCCUCUGUCUCCCUCUCUCUGUCUCUCACCCUCCCUCUGUCUCCCUCCCUCUGUCUCCCUCCCUCUGUCUCCCUCUCUCUGUCUCUCACCCUCCCUCUGUCUCCCUCUCUCUGUCUCCCUCUCUCUGUCUCUCACCCUCCCUCUGUCUCCCUCUCUCUGUCUCCCUCUCUCUGUCUCUCACCCUCCCUCUGUCUCCCUCUGUCUCCCUCUCUCUGUCUCUCACCCUCCCUCUGUCUCCCUCUCUCUGUCUCUCACCCUCCCUCUGUCUCCCCUCUCUGUCUCCCUCUCUCUGUCUCUCACCCUCCCUCUGUCUCCCUCUCUCUGUCUCUCACCCUCCCUCUGUCUCCCUCUCUCUGUCUCUCACCCUCCCUCUGUCUCCCUCUCUCUGUCUCCCUCUCUCUGUCUCUCACCCUCCCUCUGUCUCCCUCUCUCUGUCUCUCACCCUCCCUCUGUCUCCCUCUCUCUGUCUCUCACCCUCCCUCUGUCACCCUCCCUCUGUCUCCCUCUCUGUCUCUCACCCUCCCUCUGUCUCCCUCUCUCUGUCUCCCUCUCUCUGUCUCUCACCCUCCCUCUGUCUCCCUCUCUCUGUCUCCCUCUCUCUGUCUCUAUCCCUCUGUCUCCCUCCCUCUGUCUCUCUCAAUUCAAUUUAAAUUCAUUUCAAUUGAAGGAGCUUUAUUGGGAAACAUAUAG